rnacentral:rRNA from 1 species
GACGAACGCUGGCGGCGUGCUUAACACAUGCAAGUCGAACGCUGAAGCUCAGCUUUUGUUGGGUGGAUGAGUGGCGAACGGGUGAGUAACACGUGAGUAACCUGCCCCCUUCUUUGGGAUAACGCCCGGAAACGGGUGCUAAUACUGGAUAUUCACUGGUCUUCGCAUGGGGGUUGGUGGAAAGGGUUUUUCUGGUGGGGGAUGGGCUCGCGGCCUAUCUGCUUGUUGGUGGGGUGAUGGCCUACCAAGGCUUUGACGGGUAGCCGGCCUGAGAGGGUGACCGGUAACAUUGGGACUGAGAUACGGCCCAGACGCCUACGGGAGGCAGCAGUGGGGAAUAUGGCACAAUGGGGGCAAGCCUGAUGCAGCGAAGCAGCGUGAGGGAUGGAGGCCUUCGGGUUGUGAACCUCUUUCGCUCAUGGUCAAGCCGCAACAAUGGUUGUGGUGAGGGUAGUGGGUAAAGAAGCGCCGGCUAACUACGUG